AGGACGAACGCUGGCGGCAUGCCUAACACAUGCAAGUCGAGCGGCGCUUAGCCGAUGGCAACAUCGGGGACGGUGCAGCGGCGAACGGGUGAGUAACACGUAAGGAACCUGCCCCGAAGACUGGGAUAACUCUCCGAAAGGGGUGCUAAUACCGGAUGUCCCCUUCUGACCGCAUGGUUGGUUGAGGAAAUGCUUUUGUGCUUCGAGAGGGUCUCGCGCCUAUCAGCUUGUUGGUGAGGUAAUGGCUCACCAAGGCUUACAACGGGUAGCUAGUCUGAGAGGACGAUUAGCCACACUGGGACUGAGACGACGGCCCAGACCUCCGUACGGGAGCAGCGAGGUGGGGAAUCUUGCGCAAGUGGGACGAAAGCCUGACGCAGCACGCCGCGGUGGGGA
rnacentral:rRNA from 1 species